rnacentral:rRNA from 1 species
GAUCAUGGCUCAGGAUGAACGCUGGCGGCGUGCCUAAUACAUGCAAGUCGAACGCUUCACUUCGGUGAAGAGUGGCGAACGGGUGAGUAAUACAUAAGUAACCUGGCAUAUACAGGGGGAUAACUGAUGGAAACGUCAGCUAAGGCCGCAUAGGUGUAGAGAUCGCAUGAACUCUAUAUGAAAAGUGCUACGGGACUGGUAGAUGAUGGACUUAUGGCGCA